GGGGGAUUAGGGUUCGAUUCCGGAGAGGGAGCCUGAGAAACGGCUACCUCAUCUAAGGAAGGCAGCAGGCGCGCAAAUUACCCAAUUCUAACAGUUUGAGAGAGGUAGUAACAAGAAAUAACAAUACAAGGCAGUUAAAAUGCUUUGUAAUUGGAAUGAUAGAAAUUUAAACCCUUUUUAAAGUAUCAAUUGGAGGGCAAGUCUGGUGCCAGCAGCCGCGGUAAUUCCAGCUCCAAUAGCGUAUAUUAAAAUUGUUGCAGUUAAAAAGCUCGUAGUUGAAGUUCUGCUAAAAGUAACCGGUCUGCUUUUAAUAAAGGUGGUAUCUUGGUGUGUAUUUAGCAAUGAUGUCCUUUGAAGUGUUUUUUACUUUAUUGUAAUAAAGCAUAUUCAGGACUUUUACUUUGAGAAAAUUAGAGUGUUUCUAGCAGGCCAACGCUUUGAAUACUGCAGCAU
rnacentral:rRNA from 1 species